rnacentral:rRNA from 1 species
CCUACGGGUGGCUGCAGUGGGGAUUAUUGGACAAUGGGCGAAAGCCUGAUCCAGCCAUGCCGCGUGUGUGAAGAAGGCCUUCGGGUUGUAAAGCACUUUCAGUGGGGAAGAAAGCCUUGGGGCUAAUACCCUCGAGGAAGGACAUCACCCACAGAAGAAGCACCGGCUAACUCCGUGCCAGCAGCCGCGGUAAUACGGAGGGUGCGAGCGUUAAUCGGAAUUACUGGGCGUAAAGCGCGCGUAGGCGGUCUGAUAAGCCGGUUGUGAAAGCCCCGGGCUCAACCUGGGAACGGCAUCCGGAACUGUCAGGCUAGAGUGCAGGAGAGGAAGGUAGAAUUCCCGGUGUAGCGGUGAAAUGCGUAGAGAUCGGGAGGAAUACCAGUGGCGAAGGCGGCCUUCUGGACUGACACUGACGCUGAGGUGCGAAAGCGUGGGUAGCAAACAGGAUUAGAUACCCUAGUAGUC